AUGGGGAGCCCCGGUGACAGCCCCAAUGGCAGCCCCGAUGGCAGCCCCGGUGACAGCCCCGGUGGCAGCCCCGAUGGCAGCCCCGAUGGCAGCCCCGAUGGCAGCCCCGAUGACAGCCCCGAUGACAGCCCCGAUGGCAGCCCCGGUGGCAGCGCCGGUGGCGCCGUCCCGCGCUGCCCCGUCCGCACCUGCGGACGCCGCCCGCGCCCCCGGCCCCGCGGGGCCGCGCCGCCCGCCCGUGCCGCGGCGCUCCCCGGCCUCCCCGCCCACCGUCUUCUCCCCUCCCAGACAGGCACGGCCGAGGCAAAGCGGCGGGCGGGCGGCUGCCUCCGCCUCCCUCCCUUCUCCUCAGAUGCCCUUUGCAGGGUUUAUUAUUACAGUUCGUGGCUGCGCUCUGCCUUCUCCUCUCCCCGCCGCUCCCUCCGCGCUGCGCAGCGCGCUGGCCGCGCUCCCCGCCCGGGCUGGCCGCCGCCCAGCGGUGCGGGAUCCCCGCGGCCCGGAGCCAGCGCGCCCCGCUGCCCGCACCGCCGCCCCGCUGCCCGCCCCGCUGCCUGCACCAUCGCCCCGCACCAUCGCUCCGCACCAUCGCCCCGCACCGCCGCCCCGCUCCCCGCAGCCGGCGCUGCCCCAGCGGGCCCGGCCGGCGGGGCGGGCGCUGCCCUGGGGCUCCCAGACAGCGGGGGGAACGCGGGGCUGCGGAUUAUUGCAGACUAAGCAGUCUGGCGCUGCAGCAUCGUGCGGGGGGAGGCGGGCGGGCAGGGGUAGUGUGUGCGUGCGUGUGUGUGUGUGUGUGUGUGUGUGUGUGUGUGUGUAAAGGGGGCAUGGAGCUGGCAGUUGGCCAGCUACCAUCAGAAUUAGCUCAUUGUUCAAUAUAACCAGCGCUGGCAAGCAAAACCCAGCCGGGAGAGGGAACGGGCGGAGGGAGGGGGGGGGAGGGGGGCGGGGGUGAGAGAGAGAGACUUUCCCCCAGCCACCCCCACCCCUUUUUUUCUUUUUUUUUUUUCUCCGAGGCUGCACUUUGGAAGAGAUCAUGUAGAAAGGACAGAAAGUGAGCAGGGAGCGGGGGCUUUUGUCUAUUGUUCUCCUUGUGCUACUUGAGAGAAACUGCAAUCCCAAGACUUAACAGAACC